CGAAGUUAGUGGUGUGUUUGUUUGUGUGGCAGCGCUUUGAGUGCUGUGACCAUUGCUGAGUGUCGUAGUAGGAGAGGGUAUGUCUUUUAAAACGUUGCUUAUUCCGACAUGUGUUUUAACGAUUGUGAUGGUGCAUUAAGAUGGUUUCUUUUCCACUAGCGCAUGGGGUAAGAAUUGGGCAGACGCACUCCAAGCUGCACGAGAAGAUGUCCGAGGUCAGAACCGAACGCUGCAGGAGGACUCGAGUCUCCAGUACUGCUAAAAGAUUGUUUACCCUAGAGCCAUGUGUUGAACGGAGUUUGGAGGAGAACAUUGCUGAUCACCAUCUCUUUAAGAAGAAUCUUCUCGGGUCACGUGUUCCAAAGUUUUCAGGAGCCCUAGCACUAUGCAACACCAUGUUAGGUUUUAUAAAGAGGUUGAGUUUCUGUCAGUCCCUUGUAGAAGAAUUCAUCUGUUGUAUAUCU
rnacentral:lncRNA from 1 species